GAGUUUGAUCGUGGCUCAGGAUGAACGCUGGCGGCGUGCCUAAUACAUGCAAGUCGAGCGAACGGACGAGAAGCUUGCUUCUCUGAUGUUAGCGGCGGACGGGUGAGUAACACGUGGAUAACCUACCUAUAAGACUGGGAUAACUUCGGGAAACCGGAGCUAAUACCGGAUAAUAUUUUGAACCGCAUGGUUCAAAAGUGAAAGACGGUCUUGCUGUCACUUAUAGAUGGAUCCGCGCUGCAUUAGCUAGUUGGUAAGGUAACGGCUUACCAAGGCAACGAUGCAUAGCCGACCUGAGAGGGUGAUCGGCCACACUGGAACUGAGACACGGUCCAGACUCCUACGGGAGGCAGCAGUAGGGAAUCUUCCGCAAUGGGCGAAAGCCUGACGGAGCAACACCGCGUGAGUGAUGAAGGUCUUCGGAUCGUAAAACUCUGUUAUUAGGGAAGAACAUAUGUGUAAGUAACUGUGCACAUCUUGACGGUACCUAAUCAGAAAGCCACGGCUAACUACGUCG
rnacentral:rRNA from 1 species